rnacentral:misc_RNA from 1 species
AGCAGCCGCGGUAAUUCCAGCUCCAAUAGCGUAUAUUAAAGUUGUUGCGGUUAAAAAGCUCGUAGUUGAAUUUCGGGAUCAAUUAGCCGGUCGUGCCUCUGGUACGUACUGGUUUUAUUGGUUCCUCCCUUCUGACGAAACAUGAUGUCAUUAAUUUGGUGUCGUGGAGAAUCAGGACUGUUACCUUGAAAAAAUUAGAGUGUUUAUAGCAGGCUAACGCUUGAAUACAUUAGCAUGGAAUAAUGAAAUAGGACGUUCGACCCUAUUUUGUUGGUUUCUAGGAUCGACGUAAUGAUUAAUAGGGAUAGUUGGGGGCAUUAGUAUUCAAUUGUCAGAGGUGAAAUUCUUGGAUUUAUUGAAGACUAACUACUGCGAAAGCAUUUGCCAAGGAUGUUUUCAUUAAUCAAGAACGAAAGUUAGGGGAUCGAAGACGAUCAGAUACCGUCGUAGUCUUAACCAUAAACUAUGCCGACUAGGGAUCGGGAUGAUGUUAAUUUUUAAUGUACUCAUUCGGCGCCUU